rnacentral:rRNA from 1 species
UACAGAGGGGGCUAGCGUUGUUCGGAAUUACUGGGCGUAAAGGGCGCGUAGGCGGCCCGUUAAGUCGAACGUGAAAUCCCCGGGCUCAACCCGGGAACUGCGUCCGAUACUGGCAGGCUUGAAUCCGGGAGAGGGAUGUGGAAUUCCAGGUGUAGCGGUGAAAUGCGUAGAUAUCUGGAGGAACACCGGUGGCGAAGGCGGCAUCCUGGACCGGUAUUGACGCUGAGGCGCGAAAGCCAGGGGAGCAAACGGG